UCGUCGGGUAGCAUGCUAUUCGGUGACACACCUAACGGAUUAAGCAUUCCGCCUGGGGAGUACGGUCGCAAGAUUAAAACUCAAAGGAAUUGACGGGGGCCCGCACAAGCGGUGGAGCAUGUGGUUUAAUUUGAAGCAACGCGCAGAACCUUACCAACCCUUGACAUCCUGUGCUACAUCCAGAGAUGGAUGGUUCCCUUCGGGGACGCAGUGACAGGUGCUGCGUGGCUGUCGUCAGCUCGCGUCGUGAGAUGUUCGGUUAAGUCCGGCAACGAGCGCAACCCACAUCUUCAGUUGCCAUCAGUUCGGCUGGGCACUCUGGAGGAACUGCCCGUGAUAAGCGGGAGGAAGGUGUGGAUGACGUCAAGUCCUCAUGGCCCUUACGGGUUGGGCUACACACGUGCUACAAUGGUAGUGACAAUGGGUUAAUCCCCAAAAGCUAUCUCAGUUCGGAUUGGGGUUUGCAACUCGACCCCAUGAAGUUGGAAUCGCUAGUAAUCGCGUAACAGCAUGACGCGGUGAAUACGUUCCCGGGCCUUGUACACACCGCCCGUCACACCAUGGGAGUUGGGUUUACCCGAAGGCCGUGCGCCAACCUUUCGAGGGGGCAGCGGACCACGGUGAGCUCAGCGACUGGGGUGAAGUCGUAACAAGGUAGCCGUAGGGGAACCUGCGGCUGGAUCACCUCCUU
rnacentral:rRNA from 1 species